UACAGAGGUCCCAAGCGUUGUUCGGAUUCACUGGGCGUAAAGGGUGCGCAGGUGGGCUGGUAAGUUCGAUGUGAAAGCCCCGGGCUUAACCCGGGAAUGGCAUUGGAUACUACUGGUCUGGAGGAUCGGAGGGGGGGACUGGAAUUCUUGGUGUAGCAGUGAAAUGCGUAGAUAUCAAGAGGAACACCAGUGGCGAAGGCGAGUCCCUGGACGAUACCUGACACUGAGGCACGAAAGCCAAGGGAGCAAACAGG
rnacentral:rRNA from 1 species